CACCUUGGUGGAGGAGGUGAUGACCAAGUUGUCUGAGCUCUCGUACUGACUGGACACUCCGUAGAAGAAGCUGCUGUCUUCCUGCACGUUGAUGCUCAGGUCCGCCUGACAGGAGAGGAGAGGACAGUCUUCAUCCAGGACUGGGACCUCCCCCAAGACUGGGACCUCCCCCAGGCUGCCAGGGAAUUCAUCCAAUGAGGAAGAGCGAGACACAAAUGGCAGAUGAGAUCAGAAAAUCCAAAAUGGCACUGCUGAGACAGGGAAGGAAGCUGACGGGAACAAGUGUGUACAUGAAUGAGCAUCUCACAAAACGUAAUGCUGGAAUCGCCAAGAAAGCACGCGACUUGAGAAAACAGGGAAAAAUCCAGGGAACUUGGAGCGCCAACUGUAUAAUCUACAUCAAGCUGAAUGGAGGUCCAGAAGCAAGAGUACUUGCUGUCCAUGACAUCAAGGACCUGGACAAUUUUUAAAGUUUACAAUAGCAGAAGCUUGUAUGCAAACUACAACAAUAUUAAGAACUUUUUGGAACACAUCAAGGAACCCUUCAAAGUCAUUGCUGUCACAGAAACAUGGAUUGAUGAUAAAAAAGGAAUAGAUUUUGAUCUGGAAGGAUAUGAACUAAACUACAUCAACAGAAGCAACAAAAAUGGAGGAGGAGUAGCUGUGUACGUGAUGAAGAACCUGAACUACAAAGUGGUAAAAAACAUGUCAUUUGCUAUAGAUAAUAUCUUAGAAUGUAUAACCAUUGAAAUAUGUCAGGGAAAAAGCAAAAUCAUAUUCAUCAGUUGUAUAUAUAGAUCACCUAAGUCAAGUAUAGAAACAUUUUUGUGAUUACUUAUGGAGUAUAUUGUGAAUAAAUUGAGAAC